rnacentral:rRNA from 1 species
AUGAUUAGCCCCUUCUCUCUGCUCAACUGGAAUGCCCGUGGUCUGAAUGACAAGGCCCGUCGUGGUGGAGUCCACUCCCUUGUGCUUCAGUCUAGGUGCGCACUUCUGUGUGUCCAGGAGACGAAAAAGGCUCAGUUCUCGACUGCGGAGCUGCGGGAAACGGCGGGUUCAGAGCUCACUGGCUGCGCGGUGCUCCCUGCAGACGGCACCAGGGGCGGGGUGCUGCUGGCUUGG